ACAUUUGUGCCACUACUGUAUGGGUAUCUGUUCCCUCUUUUAGGCUAUAAUGGUGGUGACUUCUCUACUCCUAAAUGAUCUAAGAACCUUCCAGCACUGUGAGAACUGGUUCACAGGGUGAAGCUUCUAGCUCAGUUUCUCUGAUUGAUAACAUACAUCUCACCCAAUAACAUUGAUUUGCAGCGAUAUUUAUUCACAAUAGUCUUGCGAAGACAACGUUCAGAAAGAAUGGGAAGGCAACAGUGCACUAUUCUGGAGGAGAGAACACCUCAGCAGUAUCAAUCAGAGGCAUGGAUGGCUGGUGUCACUUUCAGGAGAAUAGAAAGGAGUUCUGAAAACUGAGGAAGAGCUCUCUGCAAUAUGCCUGAAAAGUCGACAGGAUAGAACUGGCCUGAUGCAAGGCAGACAUUAGGA
rnacentral:lncRNA from 1 species